GAGGGAACAGCAGGCUCCUUCCAGGAGCACAUCGGGAUGGGAGCCUGGGACACAGAGGGGGCUCCGAGACCGGGAUUGAUUCGGGGCAAAUGAUUCAUGGACCAAGAUAAUGUAAUAUUUCCUCAGUACAAAGCCAAGUGAACAGCUGCUUCUAACAACUGGCAGGGUCUCCCAGUCUGGAUCGUACUCACCCAAACCGCGAACGGCAAACAAGGGAGUUGAAGAUCGCCAAAAUCGGCGAGGUGCACCUUCCCCUUCAUCCCAAGAGUGUCAAGCGGUCAGAGUUUUGGAUCCCGGUCAAGGCCCCCAAUUGUGAGAAAUAAAACUCACUCACAAAUCAGUCUGAGACAAAGCCUUGGAAACAAGAACAAUUUAUUACGGCCUUGCAAGUACCGGACGCCUCUGCAAUCAAGCAAAAAUGCACACAAAAACA